UACAGAGGUCUCGAGCGUUGUUCGGAUUCAUUGGGCGUAAAGGGUGCGUAGGCGGCGUGGCAAGUCUGAUGUGAAAUCCCGGGGCUCAACCCCGGAACUGCAUUGGAUACUGCCAUGCUAGAGUACUGGAGAGGAGAUUGGAAUUUACGGUGUAGCAGUGAAAUGCGUAGAUAUCGGGAGGAACACCUGUGGCGAAAGCGGCUCACUGGACCACAACUGACGCUGAGGCGCGAAAGCUAGGGGAGCAAACAGG
rnacentral:rRNA from 1 species